GUUCUAGUCUAGGUUUUGGUCUUUGACAUCCUCAGGAAUCCUGUUGACUUCAGCUGGAUCACUUGGCUGUUGUGGAAAGCAGAAUUUAGCAAGGCAGAAGAAAAGACACAAAAAAGCAGUUCAAGACCAUUUGGAAAAAAAUUAUAUAUCGUGUGCACUUAGAGAAAGCUACCUCCCACUCUUCUCCUCAAUUCUGAAUAGACAUCUCAGAGGAGUGUUGAGACCUAGCACCACCCAGCACGAUGUUACCAGUGCACUAAGAACACCACCCAGCAAAGGGAGUCGGUUUUGCCAGUGAAUCCCUUUAACAUGAGGCUGGUUUUGUUGCUCAACAAGAGGAGGUUGGUAUCGUGGUACUACCAGGUUUCAGACCUUGCAAUUUAUACUCACCAUUCAGUAAACUGGGCAACGAAUUCAUGGAAUAAAUUGGUGGUAUGGAAGCAGGAAGGAGAAUUUGGGUAAGUGCCAAUCCUAGGUACGACCUCUCUUCUGCAUCAGCCACACAAAGCCUCUGAAAUAGAGGGCCAUGGCUGGACAGAGGAGCUAACACCAGGCAGCAAUCACACACAAACACCUUUUCCUUGAGUGUUUCACUUAGACAGAUGCCUUGCCUUUUGCUGUAGAUCUCACCUCCUCGCCCAAGGUUCACUGCGAUGGCACAGAAAUAUCUUGAAGCUAAAAGGGCUGCGAUAUAUAUGACAGGAAGUAAUGUUAGUUAAAGGGCUACAUGUGAAUACCACAGACAUCAUCUCUGUCAAGCUUGGAUGAAAUGUUUUUGACCCUGCAUGCUCUCUCUGGAGCCUUUUGCCUGCUGGCAAAAAACUGAUUGCUGAUGAAAUGCUGGUGGGGAUGAGUAGUAGUUUUGGACUACACAGGACUUACCACCAGUCAAAAUACAAGUCUGAUGCUGGGACUACGUUAACAUGACCUGCAGCACAACUGUCUGAGUCCUCACCUGUGAAAAGAAAUGCAUCAGGAAAGCUGAGGCUGACACUACUGAGCCACUCGGGGACCCACAGUGCACCCAAACUCCAUCCUGGUGUUGCAGUACAGCUGUUGCCGUUUCUUCCAUGACAUCACCUUCCAGAGAGGAUCUUGAUACAUGGGUGAUAACAUCAGAAAGAUUGGCCAGGCCUGAUAUAAGGGUUCAUUGAAGGCUAAAGACUGGUAUUGUUAAGAAUCAGCCCCGCAGUUCUACAGGGAGCACCUGCCCAACGUGGCACGGAGUUAAACUGAAGACAUUGGGUAUUCAACAAUCAGACCAGCAGCAGCAGAAACUGAUUGCCAGGCUCUGCACCCCUGCAGAAAAACAACCUCUUCACUGCUUUAUAAAUAAAACAUUCUAUCCAACAAUGUCAUUUAAAAUAAAUAAAUAAACAAAUUAAAGGAAAAAAAAAA